rnacentral:rRNA from 1 species
UGAAUCAUCGAAUCUUUGAACGCACCUUGCGCUCCCUGGUAUUCCGGGGAGCACGCCCGUUUGAGUGUCAU